AGUCGAACGAUGAUCCCAGCUUGCUGGGGGAUUAGUGGCGAACGGGUGAGUAACACGUGAGUAACCUGCCCUUGACUCUGGGAUAAGCCUGGGAAACUGGGUCUAAUACCGGAUACGACCAUCUGGCGCAUGUCAUGGUGGUGGAAAGCUUUUGUGGUUUUGGAUGGACUCGCGGCCUAUCAGCUUGUUGGUGGGGUAAUGGCCUACCAAGGCGACGACGGGUAGCCGGCCUGAGAGGGUGACCGGCCACWCUGGGACUGAGACACGGCCCAGACUCCUACGGGAGGCAGCAGUGGGGAAUAUUGCACAAUGGGCGAAAGCCUGAUGCAGCGACGCCGCGUGAGGGAUGACGGCCUUCGGGUUGUAAACCUCUUUCAGUAGGGAAGAAGCGAAAGUGACGGUACCUGCAGAAGAAGCGCCGGCUAACUACGUGCCAGCAGCCGCGGUAAUACGUAGGGCGCAAGCGUUAUCCGGAAUUAUUGGGCGUAAAGAGCUCGUAGGCGGUUUGUCGCGUCUGCUGUGAAAGACCGGGGCUCAACUCCGGUUCUGCAGUGGGUACGGGCAGACUAGAGUGCAGUAGGGGAGACUGGAAUUCCUGGUGUAGCGGUGAAAUGCGCAGAUAUCAGGAGGAACACCGAUGGCGAAGGCAGGUCUCUGGGCUGUAACUGACGCUGAGGAGCGAAAGCAUGGGGAGCGAACAGGAUUAGAUACCCUGGUAGUCCAUGCCGUAAACGUUGGGCACUAGGUGUGGGGGACAUUCCACGUUUUCCGCGCCGUAGCUAACGCAUUAAGUGCCCCGCCUGGGGAGUACGGCCGCAAGGCUAAAACUCAAAGGAAUUGACGGGGGCCCGCACAAGCGGCGGAGCAUGCGGAUUAAUUCGAUGCAACGCGAAGAACCUUACCAAGGCUUGACAUGAACCGGAAAGACCUGGAAACAGGUGCCCGCUUGCGGUCGGNUUACAGUNGUGCAUGGUUGUCGUCAGCUCGUGUCGUGAGANGNUGGGUUAAGUCCNGCANCGAG
rnacentral:rRNA from 1 species